rfam:Agrococcus carbonis strain DSM 22965 genome assembly, chromosome: I
CACGCCCGGGCGGGAGAGCCCCUUCGGGGGCACCGAAGGAGCAAGCCUCCCCGCCAAACUCUCAGGUUCUAGAACCGCUCGGGAAGG